rnacentral:rRNA from 1 species
CCUACGGGAGGCAGCAGUGGGGAAUAUUGCACAAUGGGGGAAACCCUGAUGCAGCGACGCCGCGUGAGUGAAGAAGUAUUUCGGUAUGUAAAGCUCUAUCAGCAGGGGAGAAGAAAGACGGUACCUGACUAAGAAGGCCCGGCUAAAUACGUGCCAGCAGCCGCGGGAAUACGUAGGGGGCAAGCGUUAUCCGGAUUUACUGGGUGUAAAGGGGUCGCAGACGGCAAUGCAAGCUAGGAGUGAAAGCCCGGGGCCCAACCCCGGGACUGCUCUUGGUACUGCAUGGCGGGAGUACAGGAGGGGCAAGCGGAAUUCCUAGUGUAGCGGUGAAAUGCGUAGAUAUUAGGAGGAACACCGGUGGCGAAGGCGG